UUUGUUUUCAGUUCUUUUUAAGUAGAGAAGGAAUGCAGGCCAGUGGGAACGUGUCUUCGGUGCCACUGCAGUGGGAAUUGUACGCCGACCACACAGAAACACAGAUAACCACACGCACAGUUGUCGGCACGAGAGCCUGCGAUGAAAUGCCUCCUCUGGUUGGCGUGUCUGUCAUCGUGAGAGGCUGAACCGCCUUGUCUGUCAGCACAGAUGAAAGAGCGUUUAUCAGACUGUUCCCCUCAGCGCUGGAUUUAUGAAGCCCGGGGGCUGAUCCACAACCAAAUUAUGUGGGCGUGGGACAGCUGGACUACACUCCUAUCCAUCUUUCUAACUCAAGGCAAAAAAAACAGCGCGGGAAACUUUUCUUUUUUUUCACCACUAUAAAUGCUGGGUUCUGUCAGGAUCACAAAUCAUCCAAAGGGACAGUGUAAGUGUUCGCACAACAUGCUGGGCUCUUAACUUGACAUCUGAAGAGACGAUCUCCCAGCUGUGAUCUUUACAUAACUGCCAGCAGAUGAUGGUGCUGAAAGGGUUACGGGAAUCAUUUUCAUUUUCAGUAUGCAUCGUGUGCAAUAAUUCCCUUUGACUGAUUUCUCUCUUUAAAAAGAAUCAAACAACAACAGCAACAAAAGGAUGCAGCAUCAGUUGUUUCAGCAGGUACCUCAAAACAAAAGCAGGUCUUACAUGCUUAAAUGACAUCAUGUUCAAGUAUUUAUGGCUGAGCAAAGAAGGAAUAUUGGUUCUACUUUGACCCCCUCCAGCUUUACUAUUGUACAGUAUGUCAUAAUGAAAUAAAUCAGUCACCCUAUUAAGCUUUUACUAAGGUAUUAGCAAGUGCUUAAUUCAUCAUUUAUAAAGCAUUAAUGCUCCUUAGUAUACCUUUU